CGGUUUAAGGAUACGUUCGUUGGGUAGGGGAGCGUUCUGUAAGCCUGUGAAGGUGUGUCGUGAGGCAUGCUGGAGGUAUCAGAAGUGCGAAUGCUGACAUAAGUAACGAUAAAGCGGGUGAAAAGCCCGCUCGCCGGAAGACCAAGGGUUCCUGUCCAACGUUAAUCGGGGCAGGGUGAGUCGACCCCUAAGGCGAGGCCGAAAGGCGUAGUCGAUGGGAAACGGGUUAAUAUUCCCGUACUUGGUGUUACUGCGAAGGGGGGACGGAGAAGGCUAUGUUGGCCGGGCGACGGUUGUCCCGGUUUAAGCGUGUAGGUGUGUGUUCCAGGUAAAUCCGGUUCACUUUAACACUGAGGCGUGACGACGAGGCACUACGGUGCUGAAGCAACAAAUGCCCUGCUUCCAGGAAAAGCCUCUAAGCAUCAGGUAACAUCAAAUCGUACCCCAAACCGACACAGGUGGUCAGGUAGAGAAUACCAAGGCGCUUGAGAGAACUCGGGUGAAGGAACUAGGCAAAAUGGUGCCGUAACUUCGGGAGAAGGCACGCUGACACGUAGGUGAAGUGAUUUACUCAUGGAGCUGAAGUCAGUCGAAGAUACCAGCUGGCUGCAACUGUUUAUUAAAAACACAGCACUGUGCAAACACGAAAGUGGACGUAUACGGUGUGACGCCUGCCCGGUGCCGGAAGGUUAAUUGAUGGGGUCAGCGCAAGCGAAGCUCCUGAUCGAAGCCCCGGUAAACGGCGGCCGUAACUAUAACGGUCCUAAGGUAGCGAAAUUCCUUGUCGGGUAAGUUCCGACCUGCACGAAUGGCGUAAUGAUGGCCAGGCUGUCUCCACCCGAGACUCAGUGAAAUUGAACUCGCUGUGAAGAUGCAGUGUACCCGCGGCAAGACGGAAAGACCCCGUGAACCUUUACUAUAGCUUGACACUGAACAUUGAGCCUUGAUGUGUAGGAUAGGUGGGAGGCUUUGAAGCGUGGACGCCAGUCUGCGUGGAGCCGACCUUGAAAUACCACCCUUUAAUGUUUGAUGUUCUAACGUGGACCCGUGAUCCGGGUUGCGGACAGUGUCUGGUGGGUAGUUUGACUGGGGCGGUCUCCUCCUAAAGAGUAACGGAGGAGCACGAAGGUUGGCUAAUCCUGGUCGGACAUCAGGAGGUUAGUGCAAUGGCAUAAGCCAGCUUGACUGCGAGCGUGACGGCGCGAGCAGGUGCGAAAGCAGGUCAUAGUGAUCCGGUGGUUCUGAAUGGAAGGGCCAUCGCUCAACGGAUAAAAGGUACUCCGGGGAUAACAGGCUGAUACCGCCCAAGAGUUCAUAUCGACGGCGGUGUUUGGCACCUCGAUGUCGGCUCAUCACAUCCUGGGGCUGAAGUAGGUCCCAAGGGUAUGGCUGUUCGCCAUUUAAAGUGGUACGCGAGCUGGGUUUAGAACGUCGUGAGACAGUUCGGUCCCUAUCUGCCGUGGGCGCUGGAGAACUGAGGGGGGCUGCUCCUAGUACGAGAGGACCGGAGUGGACGCAUCACUGGUGUUCGGGUUGUCAUGCCAAUGGCACUGCCCGGUAGCUAAAUGCGGAAGAGAUAAGUGCUGAAAGCAUCUAAGCACGAAACUUGCCCCGAG
rnacentral:rRNA from 1 species